rnacentral:lncRNA from 1 species
CUGUUGUGAAGUUGUGUAAAAGACUUGGAUUUUACUUAUCCAUUUCAGAAAGAAAGUGACUAAAUUGAGAUACUGACUCAACUUCUUACAUUCAGGAAAGAAGGUCAGGUCUUUUUCAGUAAUUCCUUGCAGCUUCAGCUCAUACACAAUGAUUCGUUGGUUUCUUCAUUGAAAAGGAAGGGAAGGGGGAGAAAACACCACUUUUUAAAGCCAAGACCAAAGAAAAUAAUUCCUUUUGUGUAAAGGAUCAAUAAUGGUCUCUGUUCAUUCU